rnacentral:misc_RNA from 1 species
AGACAAGGAAAAAUUACGCUGCAUUUUGGGAGAGGGAUCGGUGAGGGUGAUGGGAUCUGGAGCUGGAAACUUCCUCAAGGUGGUUCUCAAGAACUUUGAUGUUCUUGCUGGGCCUGUGGUUAGUCUUGUUUAUCCUCUAUAUGCCUCAAUUAGGGCAAUUGAGACCAAAUCUCCUGUUGAUGAUCAACAAUGGCUUACUUAUUGGGUCCUUUAUUCUAUGAUUACACUCAUCGAGCUCACCUUUGCCAAAGUCAUUGAAUGGAUACCAAUCUGGUCAUAUGCAAAGCUCAUUCUGACUUGCUGGUUGGUGAUCCCAUACUUCAGUGGUGCUGCAUAUGUUUAUGAGCACUUUGUGAGACCUCUUUUUGUUAACCCACAACAAACUAUUAAUAUCUGGUAUGUCCCAAGGAAGAAGGAUGUCUUCAGUAAGCCAGAUGACAUUCUAACUGCUGCAGAGAAAUACAUUGAAGAGAAUGGGACUGAAGCAUUUGAGAAGCUUAUUCACAAGGCUGAUAAGUCCAGGAGUAACAUUUACACAAACACAAUCUUCGAUGAGGACUAUAGAUACUAAGGCUUGUAACUCUCAGUUUGAUCUGCUACCUAAUACAUUGUUGAAUAUAACUCUGGCUAGAUUUCUCUACUUUUUUUUGUUGCUGAAACUAUAGUUGUCUUUUGUCUGAUAUGGUGUUACAUUGUUGUGAAGGAAACUCGAUGUUUUAAUAUUAUAGUAUGUAAUCUAAAUGUUAUAGAAUGUAAUUAUCUGUCA